AAAGUGACUAACAAUAGCACAAGCGGAGGACAGAGUUCCAUCUCUUCGUUUCUUGCUUCUUCCUCUUCCUCUGUUGCUAGAGAGCAGGUGAGCUGCUCUUGCAAACAGUGGCCCAUGUCAAAUCACACCCACUCCUCUUCGAUUUUUUGUCACAAAAUGUCUAGGGUUACAAAAUUAACUAUCCUCUCUCUCUCUCUCUCAAUACUUCUGCCGUCCCUCUCUUUCUUCUCUUCCUCUCAGUAGCUUCUCUCUUUUCCAGUUCUUCCUCUCUUUUUUUUUUUCUCAAAAAAAAAAUACUCACGCUUCCAUUUGCUUUGGUUGGAAGAAAGUGUUCUUUCGAUGGGUGAUAAUACAGAAGAAGGAAAGGGUCUAAGAGAGAGCAGACAGUGUCAACGAAUGAAAGGAAGAUAAACCUGGUUCUUUUAUUUUUGGAAGGAAAAUUGACGGGAAGGAGGAAAAAAGAUUAAACUUUUCAAGAUCUGCAUUAGCUGCAUCAACAGUAUCCAUGUGGACCGUUGCUUAAAAUGAGGAGAAUUUUGGGUUUUUCAGCUGCUGCUAGAGUAAAACAUUAGAUAUAUGCCCUUGAAAGUAGACUGGUAUGAUUAUUUUCUUUGGUUAUAUGAAUAAUAAGAGAGCCAUGAGGAUUUGCGCAUAAAAUUUCUCAAUAUACAUGUAUGUCUCUGGGUAACUUGAAUUAUGUGUGAAUAACAUGAGUACUUACAACUGAUGUUUAAAAAUAAUUAAGAAAUCUUGUUUUCAACAUAAGUAGAUAAAGAGCGAACUUGAUUCAACCGAAACGCCCCUCAUCCUUUCAUCUUCAUCAUCAGCAUCAUCUUCAUCUUCUUAUCUUCUAUCUAUCUUGGUGAGAACGAAUGGUAAGAAGAAAAAAUAAUUUGCUCUAAGGUUCUUUCUUCCUCUGCCAAAAAUAAUUAGCCCUUUAAUUUUUUCCCUUUUUUGGUUAGUGAAAUGAGGGGUUUAGUUGUAGCUUUUUGACCAAACUAAUGUUGUUUAUUUUUUUUUUAUAUUGUAGGAUAAUAGGGCUCUAGAUGUUUCUGCCUCUGCUUGGUUGUCUUCCUCUCCUCUUCUUCUCUCUUAUUUUUUAUUUUUAUUUUUGGUCAAAAUCCUCUUCUUUCUUUCCCCCUUUUCCUAUCUAUGUAUGUGAUGAGCAAGUGUUACAGACAAAUUUGAAAUCCUUUUAGGUUUUGAAUCUGAACAUUUUGAGAUUUUUUUCAUUAAAUAUUUUGUUCAUGUUGUUUUCUCAUUUUACUUAUCUGAUCUGAACUUGACCCCUUUUUUGUGA